rnacentral:lncRNA from 1 species
ACAAUGAUAUUGCUGACUAUGUAGCAGUUAAGGAAAAAACUGAAGAACCAGUAGUUGAGGAAAAACAUGAAGAACCGGCAAUUGAAGAGAAAUCUGAAGAAUCAGCAUUAAUGAAAAAAACUGAAGAACCAGCGGUUGAGGUAAAACCUGAAGAACCGUCAGUGGAAAAGAAGCCUGAAGAACCAGCGGUUAGGAAAAAACCUGAAGAACCAGCAGUUAAUGAGGAACCUGAAAAAUCAGCAACGGAAGAGAAACCUGAAGAACCAAUUGUUGAGGAGAAACUUGAAGAACCAACUCUUGAAGAGAAACCUGGAAAAUCAGUAAUUGAAGAAACACCUGAAGAACCAACACUGGAAGUAACACCUAAAGAACAAGCGUUUAAAGAGAAACCAGAAGAACCAGCAGUUGAAGAGGAAAAAUCUGACAAGGUAACUCUUUUGGAAAAGGUGAGCAUCAAACAUUGUCACAAAUUUUAGCCAUCCUACUAGUUCUGUAUGUGCAAUAAUUCGUAUCAACUUAUCUAUUGAAAGACUAAGUGAAACUUUAAUUCUUCUUGCAGAAUAUACCAGUUGUAGAUUUCAAUGAUAAGACUGACAGUGUAAUUCCAUGCAAUACCAACGACGAUGUUGCUGAAUACGUAGCAGUUGAGGAAAACCUUGAAGAACCAACAGUUGAGGAGAAACCUGAAGAAUUAGCGGUUGAAGAGAAACCUGAAAAACCAGCAAUUGAGGAGAAAAGUGAAGAACCAAUAAUUGAGAAGAAACCUAAAGAACCAGCAGUUGAGGAGAAACCUGAAGAACAAACCGUUGAAGAGAAACUUGAAGAACCAACAAUUGAAGAUGAGAAACUUGAAAGGGUAACUCUCCUAGAAAAGGUGAGGAUCUAGCAUUGUCACAAAGUUUGUCCAUCCUAAUAGUUUUAUAUGUGCAAGCUUUUCAGAUCUGCUUAUCUAUUGAAAGACUAAGUGAAACUUUAAAUUCUUCUUACAGAAUAUGCCAGUUGUAGACUCGAACGACAAGACUGACUGUGAAAUUCCAUGCAACACCAACAAUGAUGUUGCUUACUAUCCAGCAGUUGAGGAAAAUCUUGAAAAAACAACAAUUGAGGAAACAACUGAUGAACCAGUGGUUGAAGAGAAACCUGAUGCACAAGCGAUUAAGGAGAAACCUGAAGUACCAACGAUUGAGCAGAAACUUGAAGAGUUAGCAGGAGAGGAAACCCAUGAAGAACUAGCAGUUGAAGAGAAGCUAGAAGAACCAAUUACUGAAGAGACACCUGCAGAACUAGUUAUUGAAGAGAAACAUGAAAACCCAACAAUUGAAGAGGAGAAACCUGAAACAGAAGCUCUCCUAAAGAAGGUUAGGAUUAAACACUGUUUCAAAAUUUAUCCAUCCUAUUAGCUUUAUAUGUGCAAGGAACUCACAUAUGUUAAUCUACUGAAAGACUAAGUCAAACUUUCAAGUUUUCUUGCAGAAUAUGCCAAUUGUAGACUCAAAGGACAAGAUUGACGUUGAAAGUCCAGGCAAUAACAACAAUGAUGGUGCUGACUAUCCAGCAGUUGAAGAUAAACCUGAAGAACUAACAGUUGAAGAAAAACAUGAAGAACAAGCAAUUGAAGAGAAACCUGAAGAACCAGUGGCCACAGAGAAACCUGAAGAACCAGCGAUUAAGGAAAAAGCUGAUGAACCAGCAGUGCAAGAGAAACCUGAAGAACCAGCUGUGGAAAAGAAACCUGAAGAACCAGCAGUCGAGGAGAAACUUGACGAACCACCAGUUGAAGAGAAAUCAGAAGAACCAGUAGUUGAACAAACACCUGCAGGACCAGCAUGGGAAGAAACAUCUAAAGAACUAGCAUUUGAAGAGAAACCUGAAGAACCAGCAGUUGAAAAAACACCUGAAGAACUAGCAGUUGGAAAGAACCCUGAAAAAACAGCAGUCGGAGAGAAACAUGAAAAAGUAACUCUCUUGGAAAAGGUGAGGAUCAAGCACAAUCACAAAUUUUAUCCAUCCUAUUAGUUAUGUAUGCGCAACAAUUCACAUUUGCCUGUUGGAAGAUUAAGUUAAACUUUAAAUUCUUCUUGCAGAAUAUACCAAUUAUAGAGUUAAACGAGAAGAAUAACAGUGCAACUCCAUGCAAUACCAACAAUGAUGUUGCUGACUAUCCAGCAGUUGAGGAAAAACCUGAAGAACCAGCGAUUGAGAAAAAACCUGAAGAACCAAUGGCUAAGGAGAAACUUGAAGAACCAAUUGUUGAGGAUAAACCUGAAAAAUCAGUGAUAGAGGAGAAAUCUGAAAAACUAGCAACUGAAGAAACACUUGGAGAGCAAGCAGGGGAGGAAACACCUGAAGCACUAGCAGUUGAAGAGAAACCUGACAAAUCAAC